AUAUUGUUAAAAUGAAUGAUGAAGAGCUUGAGAUCCUUCAGAAUUGGCUGAACCUUCCGUCGGACACAAAAGAGAGUUUGCAGGUGUUGGCAGGGUUAUUUUCAGAGAAAAUGAUUUGUGUAACACGCGGAAGUGAUGGAGCUCUUUUGUGGAAUGAUGGGCAAUUUUUUGAAGGAGCAGGAUAUCAAGUUGACGUGUUGGAUACGGUAGGUUCCGGUGAUGCAUUUUUGGCAGCCAUCGUAUCGGGUUAUCUGAGUAACAGCUCCCCGGAAGAGUUAAUUGACAAUGCAAACCGUUUAGGGGCUUUUGUUGCAACAAGGUCUGGAAGCACGCCGGAUUACUCCGUCUGUUCUCUAUCUGAUAUUCAAACACUUCCUUU
rnacentral:misc_RNA from 1 species